GUUAAUCUUUCCUCAGUUAACGCUGGGACAAAUGUAGCCUACUUUUUCCAGUUUGGAUUAUUUGUUAUUCUGUAGCUACUUCUGUGAAGUCUGAAUAUCUGUGAAUGUCUGCAUCCACAAAUAAACUGGUCACAUUCUGGACAUAACUUUGUAAGGACUGUGUUUGUGCAAAAUGUUUCUGUGAAAAAGCAGUGUGGCCAGCUCAAAUGCUGAUUGUUGCGUCAAUCGAAAUUGGACGUUCUAAAUAAGCAUUCUAAUCACACUGGUUUGAGAGUACGCUCCAGGGACCACUGUAGAAUGAUCACACCAGUUUGUUGGUAUGUGUGAAAAGGUUAAAAACCUCAAACAAAUUAUAAAUUGUAGAAAUUCAUAUACAAAUAUUGAAAGUGUUUAAUGAGACUAAAAUAUGUGCUACAUAAAAAGAUUGUCCCAUUUACAUUGUGUAAUUUAUUGACAGUCCCUAACUAGUCCCACAGAUUGCCUAUCCAAAGUUAAACCCACUUUACCACUUCCUCUCUCCCUAUCCCUAUAUCUCUCCCUCCAACCAUUCUAUUAUCUCUCUCUCUCUCCCUCCCUUCCAUCCAUCUCCUUCUCCCUUUCUCUCUCCCUCCAUCUCUCCCUCUCUCUUUUCCCUUAUGACUUUCAUUAAGGGCUAUAUGACCACCUGCUGAGUGCGGGGCUGGCUUCUCUGGUGUGUGCCUGGCCACAGCACGCCACAGACACACACACAUUCCAGCCCCAGCCCCACUACGGCUAGGGGAUCUAACGCCAGUUUGAAGUUGCCAUGCCAGUAAUCUAUAAAGGGAGUGAGGUGCACGGGGAGAGGAGAGGAGGAGGGGAGGAGGAGAGAGGAGACGGGGAGCUGGGAUAAAGAGAAGCGUUUCCAUAUGGAGAUGAAGGAAGAAUACCUGGAAAAGAGCCACUAAUCUUUGGCUGCGAAAUUGAGGAGUUUCUAAUGCUAAUAAACACGAUGAGCGGCAUGGAGCUGGCGAGUGGUUGCCAUAAGGAGGGCCUCGGCACUGCAGUACAACAGGCUUGUCUUUCCUCAAGAGGGAGGCUGUGUUGUCAAGUGAGGUUUGCUGAGCUCUGUGGAGGAGACGUGCAGACCGGCUGUUGUGCCAAGACUUCACACACACGAGUGGCGUCCAGUCGGCAUGGCUGCCAGACCUGGCUAGCCGGGGAGAAAGACGUCACUCACUGGACACUGACAGUCACAGAUAAGAGCUCCGAGGGACAGAGAGAGGGAGGGAGCUAGAGAGAGUGAGGAGGAGGAGAGUGGACCUUGACCUUGACCUACCCCAUAUCCCUUCAUUCCCGG
rnacentral:lncRNA from 8 species